rnacentral:misc_RNA from 1 species
UUUCCGUAGGUGAACCUGCGGAAGGAUCAUUAAUGAGAGAGGGCCCCCCGGGGUCCAACCUCCCACCCGUGUUUAAUUGUACCUUGUUGCUUCGGCAGGCCCGCCUCACGGCCGCCGGGGGGCUUCUGCCCCCGGGCCCGCGCCCGCCGAAGACACCAUUGAACUCUGUCUGAAGAUUGCAGUCUGAGCAUCUUAGCUAAAUCAGUUAAAACUUUCAACAACGGAUCUCUUGGUUCCG